UCUAAGAAAGGCAGUUGUGUGAAACUACCACCCUUCAACUUUAUUAGCUGAGGCUCUGCACCCUGUGGCAAAAACUUUCAUGGUUUUAUUAUUGCUGGAAGCAAGAGAACAUGAAGAGAGCAGGCACUACCAGGCACCCCUUGUAGAACUGUUAUCAGGGACUGCCAGAAGAUUCUGGGGGCAGAAGCUCAACACUGUAAACAAGAAAAGUUCCCAUCAUGCUCCUCUUUUUUCCCCAGGGGGCAUGUUGGCUUUAUAAGAUUAGUUAACAUUCGGUAUGUCCUAUGACGGGGUCCGCCACAAGGAUCUAACUGUAGCCUAUGAUGGAAUUUUUACUGAGAAACCCAAGACAGAAUGUCUUUUUUAUACUUUCACUUUGCCUCCACAUCCAGCCUAAGCUGCACCAUCUUUCUGUUUCUUCUUGUGUCCUUCUUGAGCACAGUGCAAAGCACCGUCAGAAGUGCUGUGAGUUUGCUUUCUCAAAGAAGAAAACCACAGACAACUCGCGACCAAGAAAAAUACUUCUGGAAUAACUGUUCUGUAUUUUGGACCACUCAAAUGCUGCCUGUGCCUACUGGGUGUCACAUCUAUCUGCAGAAGCAUGCAUAAACUGCCCUUUGAAUGCUUGAUAAUGACAGUAAAGAAAGGAGCUGAGUAAAGGACAAGAAAUGAUGUGAAGAGACCUGAAUGCUACAUUGCCAAGUUCUCUGGGAUGGUUUUCUUGCAUGCAACUGUAAAAUAGAUUAUUGUGCACCAGAACAGUUUGUAUUAUAUUUCCCAUCCUACACUCAAAGAAAAUGAGGUGGGAGAUGACAUGCACACCUGGUUUCACAAAGCCAAGUUAGUGUCUCCUACAAUGGAAAGAAAAACAAGAACAAUUUAUUGCAAUCUAAAGCACAGAUUACUGGCAAAAUCUUGAUAUUUGCCUGCUGUGAAAGUAUGUAGUGAGUUGAGUUAAUAUCUCUCCGAUUUUUCAGAAUCAUUCAUAUUGUUCUGGUUCUUUCAUUCUUUCUGUAUUAUUGACCUUUUAUGAAACUUCACACAUCCCUAUAGUUUACCAUAUGUGAAGGUAAGCAUUCAAGUGGCUAACUGCCAACAUGAAAUUAACACAGGUAAAUCAUAUUUUUCACAUAAAUUGUGUAAAUAGUGGUAAAUAUUUACAAUAUGAGAUCAUGAAAGCAUAGACAAAUAGAUUGUAUGUUAAAUAUUUUGUACACUACACUUUUUAUGUAUUUGGGGUUUUUUCUCAGGUAUUACAAGAAACGGAAAUAUACCAGCUCUUAAAUUUUAAUGCUUCAUUUGCAUCUGGCAAUAUACAAAGUCCUACUAGGUAAAUACAGAGAAAUAGUUGCUUACUACGUUGUAAAGGACAGAUUUAGUUCAUAAAGUAGAUUUUUAAACGAUAUAUUUCCUUAUUUUUUCCAGACUCCAAAGGCAUAAAAAAUUUAUAGCCGUAUGGAAAGGUAAUUUAUAUGAACAAUAGCAGGAGGAGCUGUGUCUGGGUUGUAAAAUGUUGGGUUAUUGAAUGUUUUUCCUAGUGAAAAAGUAAGGUAUUCAAAGUGAGUGUGCAUAACACAGUACUGCGCUCUCGUUUCUCCACUGUGGGUCUGCAUGUAGGAAAUGAAGCACAAAGUCCUAAACUCCCACCGUCCUAAACUCAGUAGCCAAGCCAUACUUAAAAUACUGUAGAUGGAGGAAUGAAUUAAAAUAACCAUCAUUUAUAUAAUGUUAACUCUGUCUCAGACAGUGUUACAGUUUAUAUACCACACCAUCGAGCCCUUACCUCAAUUCCAUGGGCUAGCUCCUGGUACCGUAGUAUCAUUCCCACUUCACAGAUGGCGACGCUGAAGCUCAGAGACAUUAAAUAAAUCUUUGUCAGAUGAAAUACAGGAUACCAGUUAAAUUUGAAUUUGUAAUGAAUGACGGAUUCUGCAUGAGACAUAUUUAUACUUAAGCAUUGUUGAUUAUCUGAGAUUCAAAUUUGACAGGAUCUCCUAGACUUUUAUUUGCUAAAUCAGACAAACCGACAAGCCAAGGUCAAACAGUUCUUAAGAUGUGGAGCCAAACUCAGGGAGUGUAGCAUCAGAAUCAUGAUUUUUAACCUUCACCUUUAUACUGAUUAUAAAGCAUGGAGAACAGAAUGCUCCUCUAUAUUUGGAGUAUUGAAAAACUACUGACUAUUGAAUGAGCCUCAUGGUCAAGAUCACAGAUCUAUUAGAACUUUGAAUUUAUUUUAAUGUAUUCUAAUUAUUAAUAUCAUUUAAUAACAACAUUCUGAAUCUGAAUUCUCAUUCCAGAAGUGACAACAUCCAGAGUAUUUUCAAACUGAUUUUUGCUUUAGUGUUCUCUAUGGAAAAAAUUAAGGAAAAGUGUGAUUCACUGUAAUGAUCCACUAUAAUGAGUGGAAUUACUUGAUCAGUACUGUUGCUCAAAACACCUUUCCUUUCCAUUACAAAGCACCUUUGUGUUCUUUGUAAAGAAUAAGGGCUUUCAGUAAAAGCUUUUUAAAAGAAAAGGUAUAUUUACACAUGUCAUUUUCUUUUGAUAUUAUUACUCUGAAACAGAGAGAGACAUUUUUUUUAAGAUUGUGCAAUUUAACGGAUGGAAAUAUGGGCCUUGCAACCUAGAAGACCUUAUUAGGAUAUGUGAAGUUGAUGUCUGCACCUCAUUUUCUUUGUCUGAAAAAUGGGCAUUAUUAAUAUCUACACCAAAUGGUAACAGUGACAGUGAAAUGUUGUAAUGAAUUCAAACUGCUCUAAUGCAAUAUCCGGUAUAGAAUUGAAAAUUUACAAAAAGUGGUACUUGUUUCUCCUGUCCAUUUGUCCCUUCUCUUAGCCUCUGCUACUCUUAGCAACCCUUAUGAGUCUCUGAAAAUCGAGCCCUUACUUAGGAAACUAUUUUGACUUGUUCAGACAUUACCCAACCAUCAAGAAUAGAGUCCCUGGGAACUCAGAGAGCCUAAAAUGCUUUCCUUCCUUCUGUGGUUUUCUGAAUCCCUAAAAUGUUUAUGUUCAAACAAAAGAUUACAUUGUGAUUUCUGUACUUUUUGAGAGAGAGAGAGAGAGAGAGAGAGAGAGAGAGAGAGAGAGAACUGAACAGAAAAUGGAAACAGAAUUUUGGUAAAUGGAGAGGAGGAAAAGGGGUUAAAGGGAGGGGAAGGAAAUGAAAAAAAGAAUUAAGAUAUAGUAUAUCACAUACAAAUACACCAUCUCCAUGAUGAAUAUGAUCAUUACAUAUGGCAAACAAGUACCAACAAAAAAGCAACUGUUUAAAAAAUGAGAAUGCUCUUAGAGUUGCAAGUUGGAGUUUAUAUACUUCAGUUGUCUUUAAGAAACACUGAGACACAAAAAAUGGCUGUCAAUAAGGAAUUUAUGUCAUUAAAGCAUUCCCCGUUUUAUGCUCUAAGUGUGAAUGUGUACACAUGCCUGCUGAAUUAAGGGGUGGUGAUAUAUACAGGACAAGUACAGGAACAGAUGCAGUUAGAACCGAGUCAUCUUAAGCUUAGAAAGCAAUAAACUUGAUCCUGAAAAAAGUCAAUUCUGAGAUAUAGCACUUGUUAUAGUAUAUUAAGAGCAGAACUCAGACUACUGAAGUUUCAAAUUGCAGUCUAGGUUACAUACCAGCUCUGUGAUCUACAGCAAGGUAGUUUUCUUAUACCACAGUCAUCUCAUCUGUCAAAAGAAGAUCCUAAAAGUAUCCACUAAUCAAGUUCUCAAUAAAGCCUUAAAUAAGUUUUUUCUCUUUAAAUCUUCAUUAAUGUAUGAGAUAUCUACAGAAACCUGCACAAAUCUUAAAUGUGCAACAACUCAGUGAAUUUUCAUAAAGUUAACACAUUCAGGCAUUUGUCACUCAGAUCAUGAAAAAAGGACCCCCGGUGUCACCUUGAUAAAACUACAGUUUCCCUGAGCCCAAAGCUGUCUUCAACCAAUGUAGGUUCCAAGUGCCUAGAUUAGAACUUGCAGGGGUGGGGGUCAACAGAAAGUUCUUAGAGCAGUGUCUGCAGCAGACGUAACUCAAUGUACAUUUGGCAAUGUGAUUUUCACAGACAGAAAGUAGAUAUGAUUUUGGGGAUUGAAUAGUUAAUGGCAAUAACAAAAAGAAAAUUGUGAAACAGAUCACAUGACAAUAAAGUUAAAUGUGUCAAGCCAAUUUAAAAAAAUUGAAGUUCUUAAUAUUUUCCUUCCAUAAAUUAUGUCUGUUGUAUGCUGCAUGGGAAGAAAAAUGCAUUCCAUUUGAGAAAUCAAAGUAAACAUAUUCCCAAACACUUCUGCACAAUCCAAUAUAAGAAUUUUACUAAAAUAUUUAAAAGACUAAUUGAUGAAAAACCAAGUUAAAGAGAAGCCAUUCUAGGCCUCGGUUUCUAUAUCAUAAAAUGAAGGGAAUUAGGCUCUCUCUAUGGUUCUUUCCACCAUGACGUUUAAUGAUUCUAUGGACACGUUUCUUAAAAAGCAAAAUCUAGAAAUCUCUGAAGUAUUGAUUCAUAGCCUAAUAAUUAAUCUAGAGGCAUGGUCAAACAUGACCUUUCAGGGGGAAAGCUGCUGGUUUCCGAGAGGGAAUUCUGUCUGACUAAUCUGUUAGCACUCCUCAAGAGAGUAAAUAACAUAUGGACAGGGAAGAACCAAGGCACAGAAUUCACAAAGACUUUAUAAAAAGUCCUUGACAAGCUUCCAUAUUUUUUUAGUAUUUGUUUUGUUAAUGAGCCCCUCUGGGAUUUGUGCAGCACUUUUUUCAUGAAAGGGAAGCUAACUUACAGAAUGAGUAGGAAAAAGUGGGUGCUUUCAGGAUGGAGCUAUGCCAAGCACAAGAUUCCCAAGGGCCCAGGCUCCUUUAAGUAUUACAAAUAAUAGAGAAUUAGGUGUAAACAACAGAUUUCUGUGUUUGUAGCUGGCACUACCUCUUCUCAGCAGUGAAAUGACAAACUAAUGUAGGAUAAAUGAAAAGAAAAUGUCUCAAAAUUGAAGGAUUAGGAAAAAGAAAGAAAUAACAGAUCAUCUCAGUAAGGUAUACAGAAAAAAAUUAACUGUACAAAAAAUAAUUAAAUGUUUUGUUACCUACCUCUGUCUCUGGAAAAUGACGGAAAAGUUGUAAGUUAUUUCUGAAAGAAUUUGAGCUCACUGCCCCACUUUGGCCAGAAGGACUAGCAACAUUCUGUAAGUCAACAGAGAAAAGACUAGAAAUGAAAUAAUGUUAUCUUAUUUUUAAAAAUUAAUUUUAAAAAUGAACUUCAAAACUAUAUCUAGAACAUAAUGUUAAACUCAAGGCGUGACAAGUGAAGAAAGGUGACAUGGGGUCCAAUGUGGCACAGAGGUGAGCAGCAAGAAUGAGGAGAUGAGAAGGCGCUACACAGAGUCAGGUGCAAAACAUGGAAACGGAGGCAGCGGCCCAAGUCAACACAGUGACGCUAGGAACGAUCGCUUAUUUAGGGCUUGCUCUGUGCCCAGCACAUGCCUAAGUUCUUCACAUGCACUGAAUCACUCGUGCCGCUCACCCCAUAAGUAGUUCCCACCACUUUCUUCAAUGUAAAAAGCAUCACGCACGGUAGGUAUAGAGUCAAUAGUGAUCAGAGCUAUUUACUGUCUAGAACUCAGCACAGACCUUUCAACUCAAAAGUCAAAUCCAAGACAAAAUAAAGUGAGACUUUAUAUACUGGGCAGUAGACCUGUGGAACUCAGGCUAAAGCAACGGUACAAAGGGGAGACUCAAGGAUUUAGAUUACUUUUGUAGAAAACAAAAACAAUGUUAAAAAAUAAGGAAGAUAUUUAUCUUACUUAAACCUUUGAAGUUGUCCUCAAAGAAGACAAGCACACCCUCUCCUCUCCUAUUACCAACUUGUCUCUGAUUCUCUCUUUAAAGCUUCUGAGCUGGGCCAAGAACGGAGCCACCAGUUUACAAUUCCAACUAGUCGGCAAGUUGCAUCAUAAGUUUGAGGCCACUAUUUCCUAAAAUAAAUACAUUUUUAAAGGGCUGGGAUAUAAGUCGGCACUACCUGGGUUCAAUCCCCAGUACCAAUACAUACGCAUAUACAUACAUACAUACUUACAUACAUAAAAAAAAUAAAGAAAUAAAAUUCUGGCCUGAAAGAUCAGAAAUUUGGCUGAGUGUGCCUUUGUUUACUUAUGCCAUGGAGGAAAGGUAAUUAAAUUCCUUAUGGCUACCUUAAUAUGAAUAUAAUUCAUAGUGUGUUUGAAGCUGUUUUGAGUGAUAGAAUUCUAUUACAAAGAAUUCUAUUAAAAACAGAGCUUUAUACUCUAUAGAAAUGGAGCAUUUUUGAAGAGUGACUUGCUGAAGAACAAAUUAUGAUAAAGAGAGCAAGUACAGGAUUUUUUUUCUUUAACAUCUGUCAUCUAGUCAGCAUUUACUUUGGGUUAUUUCAUGCUCAUAUUUCCUUUAAAAAUGGGUUUCAGAGCAAAUAUGUUGCAUGCAAGGAAAAAAAUAGGAAAUUAAGUUGCAUGAGAAUCCUUGUGUAAAAAUCCUCCCAUGUAAACUUGCACAGGGGCGUCUCCAUCACAUUGGUCCUCACAGAACCCAACGACAGACUCAUCCGGUGUUGCUUGGAACAUCUGUUAUUUUAUUGGGUGAUGCUGAUGGUUUCCACCAAAUGUGCCGGCAUCCCAUCUUGCCUUUGUGACCUCUACCCCGAUUGAAGCACUGAAUGGGCCCUGGGCACACCAUGGAUGGGAGCAGAAGAGAAGAAAGCCUGGUUUAGAACACUUUCACAUACGCAUUUGACCCUCCGCAGCACCCUCUAAGGUCAUCAUCGCUCCUGUUUUAUAGACAAGGGACUGAAAGCUCAUGAAGUACUAUUCACAAUAGUCAAGAUGUGAAAUCAACCUAAACACCCAUGAACAGAUGAAUGGAUAAAGAAACUGUACUACCUGUAAGCACAGACAAAGGCUUCCUCAGUGGGACCCCAAUAGCACAACAAAUAAUAUCAAAAAUCAACACAUGGGACUGCAUUAAAUUAAAACGCUUCUGCACAGCAAAAAAAAAAAAAAAAACGCAGCAGAGUGAAGACACAACCUACAGAACGGGAGUAAAUCUUUUCUAGCUAUUUCUUAAUAACCCAAUCAAUAAACAGGCAAAUGAAUUGAAUGGACACUUUUCAAACAAGCGAGUAUAAAUGACCGAUCAGUACAUGAAAAGCUUUUAGCAUCUUUAGUCAUUAAAGAAAUGUAAAUGGAAACUACACUGAGAUUCCAUGUUACCCCAGUCAGAAGGACCAUUGUCAAGAAUACAAAAACCAUGAGUGCUGAAGACUAUUGGGGGAGGUGUUGGUACAGAAGAAAACCUCCUACACUGCUGGAAGGAAGGUCAACUGGUACAAUCAUUAUGGUGAUUUCUUACACACUAAAAAAUACAUAUCCCUUUGAUCCAGGUAUACCACUCCUUGGUACAUUUCCUAACAAAUACAGCAUAGUGUAGUUACUCAUACAUACCUAGGUUUAUAGAAGUAUAAUCUACAAUAGCUGAACUGUGGAAACAACUUAGGUGUCCAUCAACCAAUGAAUGGAUAUAGAAAAUGUGGUAUAGAUACACAAUAGAGUAUUGUUCAGCCAUAAAAAAGAAUUAAAUCAAAGUCAUUUUCAGGAAAAUCGAUGGAAGAGGAAACCAUCAUAUUAAGUGAAAUUACAGAGAAUUAAAUAGUGCAUGUUUUCUCUUACAAAGGAAGGGGCAUAUUAGGAAUGAAAAUUAACAAUAUAUUAUAGGCAUGUACCAAUACACUAUACCAAAAUGCAUAUCAUCAUUCUAUAUUACUAAUAUACGCGAAUUAAUGAAAGAAACUGUGCUACCUAUGCACAGUGAAAUGGUAUUCAGCCUUUAAAAGGAGAGAGUCCUGUAAUCUGCAAAAACAUGUAUAAACCUUAAAGUGAAGUAAACCACUUGCAGAAGGAUAAACACUACAUAUUUUCCCUCCCUCACUCCCUCUUUCUCUUCUUUUUAAUUUGAGAAAGUAAAAAAUCUAUUCCUAAAAUGUGGAAAAUGUCCAAUUUUUAUUAUUAGACUUUUUUAUUUAUCCUCUUUUCCCACUUUGGC